GCCCUCGUUCGCUCGAGAUCGUCACAAAAGCCGCUCAUAACGGCUUGGUUGGGGGUUCGAGUCCCUCCGGGCCCACCA
rnacentral:tRNA from 1 species